rnacentral:tRNA from 1 species
GCCUGGGUGGCUCAGUCGGUUGAGCGUCUGACUUCGGCUCAGGUCAUGAUCUCACAGCUCGUGAGUUCAAGCCCCACGUCGGGCU